AGCCAAACCAGAAGAGAAGAGAAACCAAGGAAGAACAAACCCUAGGUGGGAAAAAUCAAAGAGAAAGUGUUAGAAUUCAAGGAUUUGAUCAAGCAAAGGUAAAAUUUCUUUGAUUUUGCUAGUGAUUUACCUUAUCCAUGCAUUUUCCCUUAAUUUCCAUAGUUGAAAAACAUGUUUUCAUGAUGAAUUCAUGGCUGGUUGGAAUGGGUAUGGAGAGAGAAUGAUGUUAGAUUGAUAUGAUUCUAAGUUAUGUUAGUGUUUUUAGUUAGUUAAACAUGUUUAGAAACAAAACAACAAGAAAAGAAUCCAUUUUCCCCAUGAACCUUCAAUGGUCGAACCCUAUGUGAAGUGUAGAAGUAAUGAAUUGAUUUUGUGAUCAAGUGAAUCGAUUGAAAAAUUGAUGAAAUGAUGAUUUAUGGUGAGAAAAUGGAAUGGAAAAAUUUUUAGUGGUAGUGCACCACAAUGGCCAAAAUGUUCAAGAAGAAUUGUGAGGGUUAUUAGGCUGAAUUUUAGAUUAUUGGAAUUGUAUUUAGUGAAUUGAAAUAUUAGAAAUGAAAUGGAGCAAUUUGGAGCCAAAUCGGACACAAUUGUCAUUUAAUCGGGUAAUAGGUCGAAUUAUGUCAGUACCGCAUUUAAGCGGUAGUCGGAUAAGUUGCAUAUCAUAUCAUGCAUAUACACCGAGCCUAAAUUGAUUUUAUAAUGGUCAAGCAUUGAUAUGGUGAAUUAUGUAUUGUACAUUAUGGAUAGGUGGUGAGUAAAUUACAUUGGUAAAAGUACAUAGAUUGUGCUUGGAGAUUAGGAUUAGGAGUAUAUCGACUCCUAGAACUGUGAGUAAACUUAUUAUCGUCUUAAUUAUCUAGAGUAGUUUUAUACAAUUGUGUGAUUUUAUAAAAAAUGGGUUUAAAUGGUAAAUUGCUAUGUUUUAUGAGAAAUUGUGAUUUUAUAAAAUGAUUUUAUAAAUUUUCUAAAAAAUUGAAUACUGGUUUGAAAAUAGAGUAAUUGGAGACUGCCUGCUUGUGUUGUAAAUUUCUGGUUUUAAAUUGAAUGGCUUAUGACAAUAAAUGAGUAUGAAUGGCUAAACUGAUUUUUGGUGUUAGAAUUAUUUGUACUGUGUAUUCAGCCUUGAGAGGUUAGGUUGCGAUAAAUUGCCAUGUCAUGCAGAAAAAGAUUUUAUAAAUCAGGUGAUAGAUAAAAUAAUCCAUAGUCACUACAGUGGUGGGAGUUUCCAUGGACUGCCUAUGAGAGGGGCAUGGUAACUCAAUUAUAUAUUUGCCUCCGGGGGAAGAUGAUGGAUGAAGUAUCUCUUGAGGUAAAGAUUCGAGUGCACUUCAUGUGGACCACUGCGUGAGAGUGAGACUCAGCCAACACCAAGGCAUGGCUAAAAUUUCGGAUGUAAAGACAUUUAACAGCCUUGGCAAACUCGGUUGGGAUAACCCUCGAUCAAGGUAUCCCUGAUAACUGAGUAUGAGAAUGAUUUUUGACACGAGCCAAGCUUUUCAGGAAAUCAUAAGCCUAGUUGUUUAUUUGGUUGAAAUGAGUUGAAAGGUAAUGAAAUUACAAUAUGAUGACUUAUUUUAAUUCGUCUCUAUUUACUCGCCUUUAGAUAGUUUAGAUGGUGUCUGUUUACUCACUGGGAUUUUAUAAUCUCACCACCCUCAUUUCCUCACAUUUCAGGCUCGGGGAAUUCCAUAGUUAGCUGACUUUGACAAGGACCUUCAUUUGGACUUGAAUCGGCAAAAGCUGUAGGUUUUUAGCUUUCGAUACAUUUUGGUUAGACGUGGGCCCACGUGUCAUUGUAAAA
rnacentral:lncRNA from 1 species